UCAAAGGAGUGAAUACAGCCAUGAUAGAGCCAACAGGCAACACCCAGAUGCCUGAGUUUCGUCAAAAAGAGAGAACGCAUUUCUGUUUCUGAUCUGAGGGGUUAAAUCUGCCCAGAUGUUCUUCAAAAACUGGAUGAGAUGAAUAAAAAUGUUGAAAGAUUCCUGUUUGUUUAGAACAUGCACAUGCCUGCCUGUGACCCUGUUUUCUCCUCUGAACAUUGUUUUCACAGGUGGGCGUGUCUGAGAGCUUCAAGCUGCAGCUGAUUCCAUCAUCAAGGCCCAGGGGAUUUAAGGAGCAGUGUGACACUUCACCACGCCGGAUGAUUACUCUGUUUGGGUAGCUCUAGCCUCCAACCUGAUUUUUGAUAUUUGUAUCUUGUUCUUGUUAACCUGUCACCUGAAAAUCCCUGAAUGCCCUCCCCUGCUCUCCUCCAGGUUCAUCUUCAUCUCUCAUCAUCUCCAGAACAAACCCGGAUCUCGGCAUUCCUGACCACACUGCUUCAUCCCCUUGCCGCCCGCUCUCACCCGCUCACCUGCCAUCAUCCAUUUCUGCUCCUACACCUCUGUAUAAACCAAUUCCCUCACCUUUGGAUCUCCUCAGCUCACCCGGACCUGACCAACCCUCCCUGUGCAUUUACCACUACCAAGAAACAAAUCUCCUCCUGGAAUCCUGCUGCCGGUCCUACAUUUCAUCGGUUCCCGUCUCUCCCUUUGCUCCUUAAAUGAUAAAAUAAAAACCUUUUUACUUACCUUCCUGUUCUCCGUGUUGUGAUUCUGCAUGUCGUGGGUCAAGAAACUGCCACCCACCAUGACAGCACAGGGAUGACGUCUUUUUCAAGCUGGCUGAUGGAUCUGACUCCUGCGUCAGCUUCAAGGAUACAUUAGUGUCAGGAAAGUUGACCAAGCAAGAGCAGAAGCUCCCUGAGAAUGUGAAUUCUGAUGUGCAUUUUUACCAUCAAAUAUUCAUGGAUCCAAGCGCACAACAGUGCAUGUUGUACUUCAUAUAAUUGCCAAUUACACCUGCAGCCCACAGAGAAUGAUGCUGCUAAGGAUAGUGAGAACAACCAUACAUAGGAACAAUAAAACAGCGAUGGUUCAUAUUUACAUAAAAAUAACCAUCCUAAUAAACAUGUCUCCGAGGCUCUCUGUUGUUGCACUGAGUUUCCAACCAAAAAAACAGCAGAAAUGAAGAUUAAGAGAUGUGUCAUGAAUACUGGCAAGCUGCUGCCCAUAUGUUGGAGAAACAUGCGCACACACACACAAACUGCUGUCAGCAUUUUCUAAUCUUUAUCUCACCCUCCUGCAAAUCUUCUGAAUACAUGUUUGCUAAAAGAUCCUUAAAUUAUUAAACACAAACAACUAGAGUUGCACUCUGUGAAGUGUUUAAAGCUGAAGUUCACUGAGAAACAUACAUUUGUUUUUAUGUUUUUUUAAUAUGAUUGGUCACUCUGAGUUUCACAUGCAGGCCGAAGGUGAAAAUAGUCUUCUACCUCUAUUUCCGAUAGAAAGUAUACGGGGAAAUGCUUGGGUUAGAAAAAAACUCAGAUCUGUCAUGUUGUAUGUUAGCAUUCAUGGACCCACCCAGCCUGGCUCUUGGCCAUGGGAGGCUGUGUUGAUUUUUGGAGCCAGGAGAGAGCAGAGCACAUCUCGGCUAUUAGAAACUAACCAUUAGCAUUAGCAACUACCCAACAUGGAAGAAUUCCUUCAGGUUAUUUAUGGAGAUAAAACAUCAACGUUGAGUGAACGGACGCUGCUUUUAGCCAAUCAGAGGUGAGAUGUUCACAUAUUAUGAAUAUUAACGAGUAAAACUCCAAAUCCUGCCGUUUUCUGCCCCUACUCCUCCGACUCACUUCUACUUCCUGAAACUGGAGUAUCAGAGUACUUUUCUUAUCACAGAAAACAACUCACUUGGCAUUCAUUCAUGCUAGAGACCACAUCACAUGUAUUGAAAUAAUGAGUACAGGCCCACUUUACUACAAUGUUUUUGCCCUGUUUCUUGUAAAGUGCAGAAGUUUCAUAUUACAAUAAUACAUUUCCUAGAUAACUGGACUGCAUUUGCUGUGACAGUUUUGAAUCUCUUGUGUCUUUAUAUAAUUAGAUCCUUUCUGAGUUAAGAAAAUAAUUUCUAAACUUUUUUAAUGUAUGAUUAUGUGGUGUGUGACAAGUAGUAGGUCUCUAGAAAAAUUAUCUCUUUUCAUAUUAACUUGUGAUUCUGAUCACAUGACAGCUGUCUGGGCCAUCUUCAUAGCAUCUUCAACCAUUUAGGAAAACCAUUAAUCAAAAAAUGAAUUUUGACAGAACGUGCUGUUUUGAUGCUCGUGUCAGUAAUGAGAUUUUUUCCCCCUGAAUUUCUUUCUGCAACGUUAAUUUUAAAGAUUGUGUUUUCUGUGUAGGACAAGCCCUCCAAACUAGCUUUUGAACAUAAAUUACUACAGUUGGCAGCAAAGGUAGAAGAGCUAGGCAGCUAAAAAUGAAAGGCAGAAAACUUUCUAAUCUGAAAACACGAGGAUUACAUUCUCCAAAUGAGAGAAUCUGCACCAACAAACUCUGAAAUCUUAACUGUUUCUUGUACUUGCAUACAUUUAGAUGUUGCUCAAAGGGAUCCUUUGGAUAUUUUUAAAUGUUUAUUUCACUAAUUUUCUUCACUAAAUCAGCAGUGGUCCCUAGUUUGAAUUAAUGCCCUGUAUGUCGUCCUUUUUGGACAAAAGCUCCCGUGCUUCUGUUUCAGGAAGUAAUAGAAUAGAAUAGAAUAGAAUAGAAUAGAAUAGAAUAGACUUUAUUGUAAUUGCUCAUGGCAAUUAAAUUACAGAUGGUUCGCCAUCAACAGUGCACAAGACAACAAAUAACAAUAAAUAUCAAAACUAUAGAGGACUAAAAACAAUUAGAAACAUUUAGCAAACACCAAGGAAGUGCAGUGCAACCCAGUGAUUCAGAUCUGCUAAAACAACAAUUUAAAGGGAUUUCAAACAGAUUAGUCCACAUUACUGACAGGGAUGUGGGGGGUUGAAUGGAGCUGUUGUGUUGAAUGCUCUGAUGGCCCAAGGGAAGAAGCUGUUGAAAAGUCUGGUGGUGUGUGAUUUAACUGACCUGAAGCGGCGCCCUGAGGGCAACAGGUCAAACAGGCAGUGGGCAGGGUGGGUGGGGUCACAGAGGAUAACAGCGGUUCUCUUCAGGCAGCGGGUUCUGGAGAUGGCCUCAAGGGAUGGCAGGGUGCAGCCAAUAAUCCUCUGGGCAGUGUUUAUUGUCUUCUGAACAGCCUUCCUGUCCUCAGCAGUGGAGCCUACAUAACACACUCAGAGAGUCGGUGAAGGUGCUCUCCAUGGAGCAGUGGUAGAAAGCCAGCAACAGUUUCUGAUCCAGGCCACACCUUCACAAGACCCAGAGAAAGUGUAGCCGCUGCUGAGCCUUUUUAACCAGAGCUCUGGUGUUGGAAGACCAGGACAGGUCAGCAGAGAUGAUAGUGCCAAGGAACCUGAUGGAGGGGACAUGGUCCACACACUCUCCAUUUAUGAGGAGAGGGGCGUGUGUGUGACUGUGUCUCCUGAAAUCCAGAAUGAGCUCUUUUGUUAUAUUCAGAGUGAGGUUGUUAUCUGAGCACCACCUUGACAGAUUACUGACCUCUGCCCAGUACGCUGCCUCAUCUAUGUCGGUGAUGAGGCCGACCACGGUGGUGUCAUCAGCAAACUUGAAGAUAGCAGUGGAUGGGUGGGAAGCGGUACAGUCCGAUGUGUACUGAGUGUACAGUAGGGGGCUCAGCACACAGCCCUGAGGAGAGCCAGUACUGAGCAGGAUGGAGGAGGUGAGAUGGGAGCCAAGUUUAACAUGCUGUGGAUGAUUUGUGAGUAAGUCUUUUAUCCAGUGGCAGGUGGAGGGAGGGAUCUGAAGGCUCAGCAGUUUUGAGAUAAGAAUGUCUGGGAUGAUGGUAUUGAAAGCUGAACUGAAGUCAACAAAGAGCAUCCUGACGUAGCUUCCUCUGGUCUCUAGGUGGCUCAGUGUUGUGUGCAGCGUCAGGGCGAUGGCAUCCUCUGUUGAUCUGUUUCCCCGGUAGGCAAACUGAAGGAGGUCGAAGGAGGUGGGGAGACAGGUUUGGAUGUGGUUGGAGAUAAGUCACUCCAGACACUUUGUGAUUACAGGUGUGAGGGCACCCGGUCGAUAGUCAUUUAAGCUGUCUCUGGAAGAUUUUUUGGGGAUGAGAAUAAUUGUUGCAGACUUGAGGCAGCUCGGGACUGAAGCAUGAGACCGGGAGAGGUUAAACGACUUGGUGAGGAUACCUGCCAGCUCACUGGCACACUCCCUGACCACGAUCCCCGGUAUGCCGUCUGGUCCGGCAGCUUUCCUGGGGUUUACUGCUCUCAAGG
rnacentral:lncRNA from 1 species